rnacentral:lncRNA from 1 species
CUGUGUGGCCCAAACAUCUUGCACCUGGACACUGUUGUCCGAGCGCCGUGGGUGGGCCGCUGAGCAGUUGGGUUUGCCAAAGUCCUUCUCAACCCACCAGCCAGGGCCACUUGUCGCUGGCUUCAUGUUCACGUACUCAUAACAGACAACAUUGUAGUCAUCCUCGGUGUCUGUGCUGUACAGGAAGUGUCCAAGCAGGUGGCCUGGAGACGCCCACUGCACUCCUGGGGCUGAG